rnacentral:lncRNA from 1 species
UGAAGAUUAGAAUAUUCACUGAGUGGUUAAAGAAAGAAAUUCAAAAAUGAGGAAAUGAGUGACAAGAUAAAUGAAAGUAUAUAAAAAGCUUGUGAAAAGCCAAAUGAAGUUUCGAUUACUUAAAAACACACCUUAAGGAUAAAAGCUUAAACUUAAUUUAAAAAUGCUUCCAUCGUUGCAUUUUUGUAACUUUCAUUAUAUACUUCAAUGAUUGCAUCAUUUUGGGGAAUAACUCAAUAUGAUUUCUAGAUGAAAACUACGGUUUAAGAAAAAUAGAAUUACUUUGGAUACCUUGGUUGUUUGCUCCGAUACGCAUCUGAAACAUAUCAUUUUUUAUCCUAUAAAUGUACUGAAAUUAGUCUAAAUGAUGUGUUUUUCAAUGAUCUUGAUUGCAAAUAAAUGGUUCUAAAUAUAUGAUAUUAUUUUGAUAUUAAAAAGAUUUAUGGUGCUUCAUAUAUACAUUGCUGGAAAAAAAAACUAUGACUAAGAAAUUAAUAUUUUGAAUAUACACUCCUACAUAAUUAAAUGCUUCUAUCAUUAAAAAGAAAAGCUAUUUUUAAGAAGAGAGUUAAUGAUCCUAAAGCUUAGAAUAUUUCAACUCACUUCAAUAAUUCUUAUAGGAAAGAAAAUGUAAUUACUUUUGAAAGAAAUUUGAGCUUCAAAAGAAUUAUUUUCUGAUUAAUAUUUUCAUACAUAUUAAAAAAAAU